rnacentral:rRNA from 1 species
UACGAAGGGGGGCUAGCGUUGUUCGGAUUUACUGGGCGUAAAGCGCACGUAGGCGGAUCGAUCAGUCAGGGGUGAAAUCCCAGGGCUCAACCCUGGAACUGCCUUUGAUACUGUCGAUCUGGAGUAUGGAAGAGGUGAGUGGAAUUCCGAGUGUAGAGGUGAAAUUCGUAGAUAUUCGGAGGAACACCAGUGGCGAAGGCGGCUCACUGGUCCAUUACUGACGCUGAGGCGCGAAAGCGUGGGGAGCAAACAGG